CGUCCCUGUCUCCCCUGACACUCGUUCCUCCAGAAGCCCGGUAAACCCCGCCCUUACAAGCCCCGCCCCUAGCUCUUCUACGGAGGGGAACCGCAGAGCCAGAAGAGCACGGAGCAGCAACUCGCAGCCCAAUUGGUGACGCUGCAGAAUGAACUGGAGCUGGCGGAGACCAAAUGCGCCUUGCAGGAGGAGAAGCUGCAGCAGGACGCGCUGCAGACAGCGGAGGCCUGGGCCAUAUUCCAGGAGCAGACCGUAGUCCUGCAGGUGCGGCCCCACUCAGACGCCAAGGUGCCUCCCGCCUCUCCUCCCCCAGACCUGGGGCGGUGUGACGGGCAGCUUCGCGGAGUGCAGUACAGCACCGAGUCGCUCAUGGAGGAGAUGGCCAGGGCGGACCGAGAGACGCGGCUGUUCGGCGGCCCUCGCGCGCUGGCCAUCAGGUGAGCCGGGCGGUGGGCGCGGCCGC
rnacentral:lncRNA from 1 species